rnacentral:rRNA from 1 species
UACGGGGGGGGCAAGCGUUGUCCGGAUUUAUUGGGCGUAAAGAGCGUGUAGGCGGCCAGACAGGUCCGUUGUGAAAACUCGAGGCUCAACCUCGAGACGUCGACGGAAACCGUCUGGCUAGAGUCCGGAAGAGGAGUGUGGAAUUCCUGGUGUAGCGGUGAAAUGCGCAGAUAUCAGGAAGAACACCUAUGGCGAAGGCAGCACUCUGGGACGGUACUGACGCUGAGACGCGAAAGCGUGGGGAGCGAACAGG